rnacentral:rRNA from 1 species
UCGAAAGAUGUGCUACUACCGCAUAUUCUCUGAGGAGGAAAGUAGGGUAUCGAAAGACCUUAUGCUUUUGGAGCGGCCGAUGUCUGAUUAGCUAGUUGGUAAGGUAAUGGCUUACCAAGGCGACGAUCAGUAGUUGGUCUGAGAGGACGGCCAGCCACACUGGGACUGAGACACGGCCCAGACUCCUACGGGAGGCAGCAGUGGGGAAUUUUGGACAAUGGGCGCAAGCCUGAUCCAGCAAUGCCGCGUGAGUGAAGAAGGCCUUCGGGUUGUAAAGCUCUUUCAGUCGAGAAGAAAAGGUUGUGACUAAUAAUCAUAACUCAUGACGGUAUCGACAGAAGAAGCACCGGCUAACUACGUGCCAGCAGCCGCGGUAAUACGUAGGGUGCGAGCGUUAAUCGGAAUUACUGGGCGUAAAGGGUGCGCAGGCGGUUCUGUAAGUCAGAUGUGAAAUCCCCGGGCUUACCUGGGAACUGC